UUACAUCCCCUCCCCAGUGAGGUCACAAACAAUCUGCUACAGGUAAAUUAUUCUGCAGGAACCACAGGCAGGCUGAGCAGGGGAAGAGGAAUUGGAUUUACCCUGGGAUACCCAUGGGGGGUCCCAACAGCUAAAAUCCCCCUCCCAUCAGUGCUGCUGUGCCACAGGUCUGGCACUGCCCUACAUCCACCCCUGUUACUGACUGCUGAGCUGGAGUUCAGCAGCUGGAGUGGCUGGUGCUGGGUGACACUGCCACUGCCAGCUGUGCCCCAGCAGCUGCCACUGCUCCAAGAAGGGACACACUGGUGCUGGAGAGGGACAGGCCAGGCACCACCCGACACCCUGGAGUUCUCCUUAAUUGUGGUGGCUCAAAUCCCCUAAAACCUCACAGUUCCUGCUGGAAACAACUGAUGAGCUGCUCCGAAUGUUAAUCCCUGUGGAGACAUGUGAAGGUCUUUUUCAGGACAAAGUGGCAGGAAAAAGGCACAAACAGGCUGGGUGCAGAGCCUGUGCUAGAAGAGGAGUGACAGAUUCUCCACAGAGUGACAGAUUUCUUCCCAUCUGCAUGAGGACCCCACAUGCUUUUUCACUGGGAUCAGGGCUGCUGAUCUGCAAACCUGGCCCUGAAGGGCAAACCCCAGAUGACACCAGGGACCCAGGGCUGAACUGAUGCAGUGACAAACCAGCAGUGAAGAUUUAGUAAAAGGGACCGUGAUGGGAUUGAAGCAAUCACACGCAGACCUGGUGUCCUGGGAGAGAUAACAGCGCAGCUCCAUGGCAGGCUGAGAAAUCCAGCUGCUAACAGCCACCCUUUGUGCCCGGCACAGCCCCGAGCUCCCGGGGUGCAGCCCCGGUUUGGGGAUCCUGCCACACCGUGACCUGGAGCGAGCCCAAGCUCGUGUGUUCCCAGCAGAGGCAGGGAUUUCACACUCACAGC